GACAGAGGGUGCAAACGUUGUUCGGAAUUACUGGGCGUAAAGCGUGUGUAGGCGGUCCACUAAGUCGGGUGUGAAAGCCCUGGGCUCAACCCAGGAAGUGCACUCGAAACUGGCGGGCUAGAGUAUCGGAGAGGUUGGUGGAAUUCUCGGUGUAGAGGUGAAAUUCGUAGAUAUCGAGAGGAACACCGGGUGGCGAAGGCGGCCAAACGUGGACGAAUACUGACGCUGAGACACGAAAGCGUGGGGAG
rnacentral:rRNA from 1 species